rnacentral:rRNA from 1 species
UAUUGCACAAUGGGCGCAAGCCUGAUGCAGCCAUGCCGCGUGUGUGAAGAAGGCCUUCGGGUUGUAAAGCACUUUCAGUCAGGAGGAAAGGUUAGUAGUUAAUACCUGCUAGCUGUGACGUUACUGACAGAAGAAGCACCGGCUAACUCCGUGCCAGCAGCCGCGGUAAUACGGAGGGUGCGAGCGUUAAUCGGAAUUACUGGGCGUAAAGCGUACGCAGGCGGUUUGUUAAGCGAGAUGUGAAAGCCCCGGGCUCAACCUGGGAACUGCAUUUCGAACUGGCAAACUAGAGUGUGAUAGAGGGUGGUAGAAUUUCAGGUGUAGCGGUGAAAUGCGUAGAGAUUUGAAGGAAUACCGAUGGCGAAGGCAGCCACCUGGGUCAACACUGACGCUCAUUACGGAG